rnacentral:lncRNA from 1 species
UAAGCUGCAGAAGCCACAAAGAGCAGAGGAGCCCUCUGCAUUGUGAUUUGGAGCUUGCACAAACCUCUGCCUAGCGAGGAAAGGGAACGGGAACAGAGAGAGGGCAACGUGGGACUGUGGCUCCCUAGCCAUGAAGUCUGCUGGCCACCUCUUCUGGGAGAAAUAGCACAAGCAAGGACUGAGUGAUGGGGCUGAGCAUAGCAAGCUCAUUCUCAUCAUGGCAAAAAGAUUAGGGAGGAGCUGCAAAGUUUGGUACCAAGGGAUUGUGCUUUAAUUGUUUUUUUUUAGUAAUUCACCCCAAAGCACUGAUGGACAUAUUAAUAAGUGGUAAUAAUUGGAAAGGUAAGCUCUGAGCUAGCAAAAUGUUUUUAUUUUUUAUUAUUUUAUUUUUAUUUUUUUUAAUAUUUUUUAUUUUUAUUUAUUCCUUGCCGUCGGAUAGCCAUGUUAAGGAAAGACUGGUGGGACAUCAAAGACAUCUGAACACUCUGGGAGAGUUUUGGCAUGUGAGGCUGAAGUGUCAGCUGAUGCAAAACUUCAAUGGGUAUUGAGGAGUGCUGAGAGUUCAUCCCACACUGGUGGGUUUGUGCUUUUCCAGCCCAACUAUCACAGCCAAAUGGGAAGGUAUGAUAUCUGGUACCCAAUUAGAAAAGAUUGGCAGUUGUAAUAAGACCAAAGAAGG